rfam:Sus scrofa isolate TJ Tabasco breed Duroc chromosome 1, whole genome shotgun sequence.
UAAAAGGUUUUAACUGCCUAUAAAAACCACCAAUUUUUUCUUGAAAAUGUUC